GCCGGGCGCGGUGGCGCGUGCCUGUAGUCCCAGCUACUGGGGAGGGUGAGGUAGGAGAAUCGCUUGAACCCAGGAGGCGGAGGUUGCAGUGAGCCGAGAUCGGGCCACUGCACUCCAGCCUGGGUGACAGAGCGAGACUCUGUCUCAA
ensembl:misc_RNA Metazoa_SRP Metazoan signal recognition particle RNA